rnacentral:ncRNA from 3 species
GGGGAAUCCGACUGUUUAAU